rnacentral:rRNA from 1 species
CAUGCAAGUCGAACGGGGAAAGCUUUCGGGUGAGUACUAGUGGCGCACGGGUGAGUAACGCGUGGAUAAUCUGCCUUAGAGUGGGGGAUAACGAAUCGAAAGAUUCGCUAAUACCGCAUAAGACCACAAGAACUGCGGUUCAAGGGGUCAAAGGUUUUUCGCUCUAAGAUGAGUCCGCGUAAGAUUAGCUAGUUGGUGAGGUAAUGGCUCACCAAGGCAACGAUCUUUAACUGGUCUGAGAGGAUGAUCAGUCACACUGGAACUGAGACACGGUCCAGACUCCUACGGGAGGCAGCAGUAGGGAAUAUUGCACAGUGGAGGAAACUCUGAUGCAGCGACGCCGCGUGAGUGAUGAAGGCCUUCGGGUCGUAAAGCUCUGUCGCAGGGGAAUAACACAAUGAAUGUACCCUGUAAGAAAGGAUCGGCUAACUUCGUGCCAGCAGCCGCGGUAAGACGAGGGAUCCUAGCGUUGUUCGGAAUUAUUGGGCGUAAAGCGGGUGUAGGUGGCUAUGUAAGUCAGGUGUGAAAGCCUAGGGCUCAACCCUAGAAGUGCAUCUGAUACUGCGUAGCUUGAGUGGUAGAGAGGAUAGUAGAAUUCUUGGUGUAGUGGUGAAAUACGUAGAUAUCAAGAGGAAUACCGGUGGCGAAGGCGGCUAUCUGGCUACACACCGACACUCAGACCCGAAAGCGUGGGGAUCAA